rnacentral:rRNA from 1 species
ACCUGCCCAUAAGCAGGGGAUAACACUUGGAAACAGGUGCUAAUACCGUAUAACAACUCAAACCGCAUGGUUUGAGUUUGAAAGAUGGUUUCGGCUAUCACUUAUGGAUGGACCCGCGGCGUAUUAGCUAGUUGGUGAGGUAACGGCUCACCAAGGCAAUGAUACGUAGCCGACCUGAGAGGGUAAUCGGCCACAUUGGGACUGAGACACGGCCCAAACUCCUACGGGAGGCAGCAGUAGGGAAUCUUCCACAAUGGACGAAAGUCUGAUGGAGCAACGCCGCGUGAGUGAAGAAGGGUUUCGGCUCGUAAAACUCUGUUGUUGAAGAAGAACGUGGGUGAGAGUAACUGUUCAUCCAGUGACGGUAUUCAACCAGAAAGCCACGGCUAACUACGUGCCAGCAGCCGCGGUAAUACGUAGGUGGCAAGCGUUGUCCGGAUUUAUUGGGCGUAAAGAGAGCGCAGGCGGUUUCUUAAGUCUGAUGUGAAAGCCUUCGGCUUAACC